GGGUGAGUGCUGCCAGCAAAGAUGGGGCGCGUGCAACUCCCACUUGAGAGCCUGAAGAUGAUGGAGAUGGAGACACCUCUACGAUGGACCCUGAGCCAGUAGUGGUCCAUCGUGGAUCUCAGUGCAACAUACAAUGUUUCCAUCGUUCAUUAGCUGUUCAGGUAAAGCCUCAGAUGGUUGAUGUGGGGACUCAAACCAAAAGGUUUGAGAUGCGAAGAUCGACUCCACUGGCCAAUCCUGAACAAAGUAUGUGUACUAAUUAUUACUUUUGUUAUGUGAUGCGACCGACUAUAUGACAGAAUAUGUUUCAUGCAGGAUCACCAGCAGCCACUAAACUGGAGAGUGUAGCUGCCAGGAAAGCACUGGUGAAAGAUGUUUGACAAUUGUCACCUCAGCAUCAGACAUUCUCCCUGGAGGCAUACCAUUCCCUCAUUCUGCACUUUGCUCCCUAACACACUGGUUUCUCUUUUCUUUGGAUGUACAGCAGACUUCUCUUGGCGGCCCUACAUUUCAGCAGUAAUGGCAGAGAUGUAGCUCGAACCAGUGAGGGUGAGGUAUGCUACGCCGUUUGCUACCCGCGGUUUCGGAAAGGUGGUUGGGUAGUCCGCCCUAUCAAGGAGAAACCAUCUUACGGAUACGCAACAAAUCUUAUGGUCUCUCUGGUAGAGGAAUACUCUAGAUCACCACAGGCCCUACAAGGAAGCAGUGCUGUCUUGUCUUGUGCUGCCCCGCCCCCCCUCACCACUUCCCUCCAGAAGAUUGCCAACGAUGAGGCAGUCAACCUCCAUCUCGCAAGACACUCACGUUUUAACGUGUCAUAAAACAUACGGGAAAAAUUGUGAGAAAACACGUAUCGGUACUCUUUAGUUAGUUUAUUAGCCUAAAAAAUAGGCUAACCCUAAUAAAAAAUAAGAAUGCAUACAAUGGCACUUAAUUUCCUGUGCAAUGACAAAUAAAUCUAAUCUAAUACAUUUUACAAGUA